rnacentral:tRNA from 1 species
UGCCCCAUGGCUGAGUUGGUUACAGCGUCCGACUGUUACUCUUUGAACAUCGGAAGGUCGUGAGUUCGAGCCUCACUGGGGCAG